AACGUAGGACACAAGCGUUAUCCGGAGUUACUGGGCGUAAAGGGCGUUUAGGCGGGUGAUUAAGUUCGCUAUGAAAGCGCCAGGCUAAACCUGGCGAGGCUGGCGGAUACUGGUCAUCUGGAGUGAGGGAGAGGGAAGUAGAAUUCCGCGUGUAGUGGUGAAAUGCGUAGAGAUGCGGAGGAAUACCAGUGGCGAAGGCGACUUCCUGGCCCUCAACUGACGCUGAAGCGCGAAAGCAUGGGGAGCGAACGGG
rnacentral:rRNA from 1 species